CAGUAACUAAAAAAACAGCUGUUUAGUGUUACGUCACGAAACGUUUACCAACACUAAACAGUGCGCACGCCUUCUGUUACCGCUGUUGCUGCCCAUCCCUGGCUGUCUAGCCAGACCUGGAUCCAAACAAAAACGAAGGCAUCGGAUCAUGGAAGCCACUAAGGAUCCGCCUUCGCAGCCGCCGCCGCCUUUCAGCCGUGCGCCGCGCGCGCAGUCUCCUCCCGUCGCCGCCGAACAAGAUCCGCCAGAGAUUGCGUGGGAGCCCGGGACUACAUCGCAUUCCAGCCGCAAACGACAGCUGAGCCGCUUCCAUCCGUACCAUGGUUCUAAUAUACAGCUUGGCGACGACGCCACCGUGGCGUACCGCAGGGCUAGCUUUGCCGAUGCCCUCACUUUCUCGGAGCGCCCGCUGGCGCCCGGCGACAUCUUUCUGGUGGAGAUUGAAAAGAUAGAGCGCGGGUGGUCGGGACACAUGCGCCUGGGACUCACAGAACUCACACCCAAUGUGAUCCGGACCAGCAGUGAGGGCUUACCGCACUUCGCCCUGCCUGACCUGGCCAACCUGGGUAAUAGUUGGAUCUAUCCUAUCUCCAAAUUCGAGAUGAACCAGCGUCGUGCUCCUUCGAGCGACGAUGUUGGGACGGAGGCGGAAGGGGCGCCACAGAGAAACCUUCUGGGCGAUGCAACGCAUGUUAGAACCCCUCGCGGUCUCCUACCGAAAAGACUACUGCGGCCCGCCAUGGGAAACGGCCACGACUCGGAUAUCCUACUCACAGAUACCGGCUCACGCAUUGGAAUAAUAUACGUGCCCACGGUGCAAAGUACCACAAAGGGCGAGCUGCACUUUAUCAUUAACGGGGUGGAUCGGGGCCCCGUUUCGACAGACAUUCCCCUGAAUAGAGCCCCUCUGUUCGUCGUCAUAGACGUGUACGGCACCACCAAGCAAAUUAGGAUAAUCCAGCUGGAGGGCAUCCUAUCGCUCCAGAGCGCUUGCCGCAAUGUCAUCCUGGAGCACUUUUCGACGGACGCGAUUGCUCAACUGCCGCUUCCUGGGAGCAUCAAAAGAUUCCUGCUGCGCCGCGACUAGUGUUCCGUUUCAGGGAAAGAGAGUUAGCGGAGGCAAGAGUAAAGGGUGGGAAUGUGCAUGAGCGGGGUCAUGGUACGUCUAUAUAUAUUUUGUAAGUCUCCAGCAUAGCGCCAUUGAAGUGCCCAGAGAUUAUCACUGACCCCGCUCGAACUACGUCUUCAGUUACCGGUUUACUAGACACCAUCCUCCUGCGGACGAGACUAUGUUGAAGAGCAUAACCUCUAGGAGGGAACUUGUUCCAUUACCUCUAAGUAUAUUGUUGAUAAAUGUUAUAAAAAGUGGAUCAAGUCUUGGCAUCGAAAAGUAGAACUUCGAACUGAGAGUUUAUUGAAGCCGGGAUAACAUAUAGAUUAAAAUAAAAAUUUAAAUGGAA
rnacentral:misc_RNA from 1 species